rnacentral:sRNA from 1 species
GGAAGGAUCAUUAUCGUACAAAAUGUGUGAGAGGCACGUUCGGGCUGUCGCUGACCCAAAGUCGUGCACGCCCGAGUGUGUUCCCUCACAUAAUUAAUCCAUCUCACCCUCUUGUGCAUCACCGCGUGGGCACCCUUCGGGAUCAUCUCGGAGGGGGCUCGCGUUUUCACACAAACCCCCCUUUUAAAAGUGUAGAAUGACCUCAUUUUUAUGCGCUAACCCGCAAUCAAUACAACUUUCAACAACGGAUCUCUUGGCUCUCGCAUCGAUGAAGAACGCAGCGAAAUGCGAUACGUAAUGUGAAUUGCAGAAUUCAGUGAAUCAUCGAAUCUUUGAACGCACCUUGCGCCCCUUGGUAUUCCGAGGGGCACACCCGUUUGAGUGUCGUGAAAACCUCAACCUCCUUGGUUUCUUCCGGAGACCAAAGCAGGCUUGGACUUUGGAGGCCUUUGCUGGCACCUCUCUUUUGAAGGCCAGCUCCUCUUAAACGAAUUAGCAGGGUCCUCUUUGCUGAUCCUCGACGUGUGAUAAGAUGUUUCCAUGUCUUGGUUUCUGGCUCUGUCACCUUCGGGACCUGCUUCUAACCGUCUUGACCUUGCAUCGAGACAACGUUCGAGCAUGUCUCCCUUUCUCGGGAAGGCUCCCUCGACCCCACGAACCUCCUUGACCUCAAAUCGGGUGAGACUACCCGCUGAACUUAAGCAUAUCA